rnacentral:rRNA from 1 species
GGGGGGCAUAAACUGCAGUCGAGCGAGCUUGCCUAGAUGAUUUUAGUGCUUGCACUAAAUGAAACUAGAUACAAGCGAGCGGCGGACGGGUGAGUAACACGUGGGUAACCUGCCCAAGAGACUGGGAUAACACCUGGAAACAGAUGCUAAUACCGGAUAACAACACUAGACGCAUGUCUAGAGUUUGAAAGAUGGUUCUGCUAUCACUCUUGGAUGGACCUGCGGUGCAUCAGCUAGUUGGUAAGGUAACGGCUUACCAAGGCAAUGAUGCAUAGCCGAGUUGAGAGACUGAUCGGCCACAUUGGGACUGAGACACGGCCCAAACUCCUACGGGAGGCAGCAGUAGGGAAUCUUCCACAAUGGACGAAAGUCUGAUGGAGCAACGCCGCGUGAGUGAAGAAGGGUUUCGGCUCGUAAAGCUCUGUUGGUAGUGAAGAAAGAUAGAGGUAGUAACUGGCCUUUAUUUGACGGUAAUUACUUAGAAAGUCACGGCUAACUACGUGCCAGCAGCCGCGGUAAUACGUAGGUGGCAAGCGUUGUCCGGAUUUAUUGGGCGUAAAGCGAGUGCAGGCGGUUCAAUAAGUCUGAUGUGAAAGCCUUCGGCUCAACCGGAGAAUUGCAUCAGAAACUGUUGAACUUGAGUGCAGAAGAGGAGAGUGGAACUCCAUGUGUAGCGGUGGAAUGCGUAGAUAUAUGGAAGAACACCAGUGGCGAAGGCGGCUCUCUGGUCUGCAACUGACGUUGAGGCUCGAAAGCGUGGGGAGCAAACAGGAUUAGAUACCCUGGUAGUCCACGCCGUA